GUGAGAGUGUCACAGGUUUUAUUAAGGGUGACUGAAAACCCUGUUCUGCCCACCAGUCGCAGCAAAAUGUGAGCUACAAAUGCAGUCCAUGUCUAUGUUGAAGAUGCUGCAAAUCACCACCUCGCUCUUGAGUGUCAGCCCUCUGAUUACUCCUCUACUGGACCAUGUCAGAAGAUUCCCAGAGGCCUUUAGGAAGGUUUUGCCUUCUAUACAAAGGCAGUUUUAUGUGAUCCUACAGUAAAAACAAGUUAAGGAAUGGCUUGUAAGUUGUUUCCAGAUUUUCAGCUUCCACAGUGAAGGGACAUCAUUGCAAAAGGCACUCUAGAAAACUGGGAGAAAUUCAAUACUCAUUAAAGAAGAAAUGAAGAGUCACAGUUAAUGCUAUUAGUUAAUUCAAAGAAGAAAACCAAAAAGAAAAUAUUCUCAGCAAUUUUUUAUCCUUUUUAUGUUUGCACUUCAUUUUUUUUUGGCAGAAGAUAGCCAACAGAUGUAAAAUGUACUGCUAUUUUGGAGAUAGUGCUGAAGAAUUUGGACUUAGUUAACACUUGUAGAACCCAGUUAUCAGAUGAACCCAAUUAUCAGAUGAACAAAUUUAUCCAGAAAUAUUUUGCAUGACAUUUGGUAUCAGUUAAACUCAAAUUCUUUAAUAAUUAAUUUGACUCUUGUAACAACUUUAGGGCACAAUAACCAUGCAUGUCUCCUGUCUGGAAUCAAUUUGUCGGUGAUACAAAUCACUGCAGUGAAGUCAAGAAAUCAUGACAACCUACAUGGCACAGCUGCUUUGCUCUGAAAAUUCCUUUUUGCUCUGAAACAGGGAUCCUCAUUGCAGAUAUAUUUAUGAGAGGACAGUUACAUACCUUCUCAGGCACAUACCCAUUUCCCUUAAAAAGUCUUCUGACAAGCUGCUAAAUCUUCUGGGAUGUGUUUGAUUUUGGUUAUUUUGGGGUUCUCUCCCCCUCCCACCUGCCACAGGUUUUUUGUUUGGUA
rnacentral:lncRNA from 1 species